GCACGAGGUGUCCUCUCACCAGCAGCAGCUGCCAUCUCCUGAUUCAGGUUUGGAAUGCAGUGUAAGUUUUGCAAAUUUGUAAACAGUAGCUGAGAAGUUACACUACACACUACAUCGCUAUCAAGGAGCAUCCUGGCAGCAGCCUUGUUUGUUCACUGACUGCUUCUGCACUUUAAAGACUCUGAUGUCUGAAAACAGUGGCUUGCAUGUUUUUGGGAGUUUAGGUCUAUGCUGAGUUUUACAGGAUUACUCAAACCAACCUCAAAGAUACCUUCUCUUUUUCGGAUGAAUACGCUAUCAAGUUUUAUGGAUCAUGUGGUGGGCGAUAUGGAGAGAUAAUAAGGACCGCCCUGGACCAACUGGACAAUCAA
rnacentral:lncRNA from 8 species